UACGGAGGGUGCAAGCGUUGUCCGGAUUUAUUGGGUUUAAAGGGUGCGUAGGCGGCCUUUUAAGUCAGUGGUGAAAGCCCGCGGCUCAACCGCGGAACUGCCAUUGAUACUGGAAGGCUUGAGUACAGACGAGGUGGGCGGAAUUGAAGAUGUAGCGGUGAAAUGCUUAGAUAUCUUCAAGAACACCGAUUGCGUAGGCAGCUCACUAGGCUGUAACUGACACUGAGGCACGAAAGCGUGGGGAGCGAACAGG
rnacentral:rRNA from 1 species